rnacentral:tRNA from 1 species
GCCUGGGUGGCUCAGUCAGUCAAGCGUCUGACUUCGGCUCAGGUCAUGAUCUCACUAUUUGUGAGUUCAAGCCCUGCUUCAGGCU